CGUAGGUUCGACUCGUCGGCUCGAGACGACGCUGGCGGCGUGCUUAACACAUGCAAGUCGAACGGAAAGGCCCUGCUUUGUCGGGGUGCUCGAGUGGCGAACGGGUGAGUAACACGUGAGUAACCUGCCCUUGACUUUGGGAUAACUUCAGGAAACUGGGGCUAAUACCGGAUAGGAGCUCCUGCUGCAUCGGUCGGGGGGUUGGGAAAGGUUUCGGCGGUUCGGGGAUGGACUCGCGGCUUAUCAGCUUGUUGGUGGGGUAGUGGCUUACCAAGGCUUUGACGGGUAGCCGGCCUGAGAGGGUGACCGGCCACAUUGGGACUGAGAUACGGCCCAGACUCCUACGGGAGGCAGCAGUGGGGGAAUAUUGCACAAUGGGCGGAAGCCUGAUGCAGCAACGCCGCGUGCGGGAUGACGGCCUUCGGGUUGUAAACCGCUUUCGCCUGUGACGAAGCGUGGGUGACGGUAAUGGGUAAAGAAGCACCGGCUAACUACGUG
rnacentral:rRNA from 1 species